UGUUCUGGUCAUGGAAUUCAUAGGUAUUGUGCUCUUAUUUGUUUGCUUGUGUAGGUAGAUUGGUGUUUGUCCUUUUACUUGGCCAUCGGUAUGCAGAAUUUUAGUUUAUACGAUGUUUUGGUGGAUCAUUUUGGAGAAAGACAAUUUCAUUAAUGUGUCACAGCCAUCAGACUAUCAGUCCUUUAUUUCUUCUAUUUAGCCCAUUUUUUACACAUAUAACCUUGUGGAGUUAAUAGACGCAUCCUUAUCUACUCUUUCGGUAUUGUUACUUUUAAGGAUAUUUCAAGGAAAUAGUUCAAAAUUUUCUUCUUCUUAUUUAUUUCAUUCUUUACUCAAUGAAGACUUCAGAGUUUGUUAUACCAUUGAUCUAUUCUUUUGGUUAUAGGAAAGGCUGGUUGGGCUGCA
rnacentral:misc_RNA from 1 species